GAUGAAGAAUGUAGCGAAAUGCGAUAAGUAAUGUGAAUUGCAGAAUUCAGUGAAUCAUCGAAUCUUUGAACGCACAUUGCGCCCGCCAGUAUUCUGGCGGGCAUGCCUGUCUGAGCGUCAUUUCAACCCUCAUGCCCCUAGGGCGUGGUGUUGGGGAUCGGCCAAAGCCCGCGAGGGACGGCCGGCCCCUAAAUCUAGUGGCGGACCCGUCGUGGCCUCCUCUGCGAAGUAGUGAUAUUCCGCAUCGGAGAGCGAUGAGCCCCUGCCGUUAAACCCCCAACUUUCCAAGGUUGACCUCAGAUCAGGUAGGAAUACCCGCUGAACUUAAGCAUAUCAAUAAGCGGAGGA
rnacentral:misc_RNA from 1 species